rnacentral:pre_miRNA from 1 species
UCCCUGGCGUGAGGGUAUGUGUCUUUGGACUACAUCGUGAAGCCAGCACCAUGCUGUCCGUGAGCAUAUACACUUUGCCUCAGGCCUGUGUCGUC